rnacentral:lncRNA from 1 species
GCCUGCCAAUUGAUAUUUUAUCGUGUGUUUUUAUAUAUUGUGAUGUUAUGAUAUUGUUUCAGAAAAAGGGAGAAGGUUUUGUACCAUUAAAACGUUUAAUCCCGCUGCAAAUGUUUGCACCUGUCCUAAGUCAGGAAUCUGAUGUACAGUAGUUGUCGUUUGUUUAUGUAAUUUAUACGUGUUUCUCGUUUCUCGUUUUUUUAUAUAGAUUAGACCGUUGGUUUUCCCGUUUGCAUGGUUUUACACUAGUAAUUUUGGAGCCCUUUAUAGCUUGUUGUUCGGUGUGAGCCAAGGCUCCGGGUUGGAGGCCGUACAUUGACCUAUAAUGGUUUACUUUUUUAAAUUGUUAUUUGGAUGGAGAGUUGUCUCAUUGGCACUCACUUCACAUCUUCCUAUAUUUAUAUA